CGUUUAGGGGUAAACCUGAGAAACCCGAAAGGUCGAAGGGAGAAAUUCAUUCGCGUUUCGAUGUUGGCAUCAGAUAGAAUUGUGACGUGAAUUUUGUGUGUGGAUGUUUCGGCAUUCAUAUAUUUUAGUUUAUGCACAUUUUGUUUGAUGAUCUAGCAACGAACGCGUGCACUUUUCUUCUGGUAGGACGUCGCGAUCCGUUGAGUAUCGGUCUACGGUUUGAGGUGGAGCCCGUUCUUAUUCGCAUUUACGUGUGAAUGGGAGCGGACCCUUGAUACUUGGCCGAUUUGCUCGACGGUAUACGAACGGUUAGGGGCCGCUUUUAUAAGCGUUCGACACAAGGCAAGCGCGUCAGAUGCAUGUUGGCGAUCGGACCUAGUGCCGGUUCCGACCUCUGAUGACUGUUGGCUUUGUUGUUCUCGAACAGACUCCUUCAAUUUAUAGAAAACCGAUCUGCGACGCUAUAGCUUUGGGUACUUUCAGGACCCGUCUUGAAACACGGACCAAGGAGUCUAGCAUGUACGCGAGUCAUUGGGAUUUUAAACGAAACCUAAAGGCUUAAUGAAAGUAAAAAUCUUCUUUACGAAGAUUGAGGGAAGACGAGAGGUUUGCCCUUAAAAGUGGCCUCUUUGCAUUCCCGGGGCGUCUCAUUCUCAUUGCGAGAGGAGGCGCACCAAGAGCGUACACGCUGGGACCCGAAAGAUGGUGAACUAU
rnacentral:rRNA from 1 species